UCCGUAGGUGAACCUGCGGAAGGAUCAUUACCGAGUUGAUUCGGGCUCCGGCCCGAUCCUCCCACCCUUUGUGUACCUACCUCUGUUGCUUUGGCGGGCCGCGGUCCUCCGCGGCCGCCCCCCUCCCCGGGGGGGUGGCCAGCGCCCGCCAGAGGACCAUCAAACUCCAGUCAGUAAACGAUGCAGUCUGAAAAACAUUUAAUAAACUAAAACUUUCAACAACGGAUCUCUUGGUUCUGGCAUCGAUGAAGAACGCAGCGAAAUGCGAUAAGUAAUGUGAAUUGCAGAAUUCAGUGAAUCAUCGAAUCUUUGAACGCACAUUGCGCCCUUUGGUAUUCCGAAGGGCAUGCCUGUUCGAGCGUCAUUACAACCCUCAAGCUCUGCUUGGUAUUGGGCACCGUCCUUUGCGGGCGCGCCUCAAAGACCUCGGCGGUGGCGUCUUGCCUCAAGCGUAGUAGAACAUACAUCUCGCUUCGGAGCGCAGGGCGUCGCCCGCCGGACGAACCUUCUGAACUCUUCUCAAGGUUGACCUCGGAUCAGGUAGGGAUACCCGCUGAACUUAAGCAUAUCAAUAAGCGGAGGA
rnacentral:rRNA from 1 species